ACGUGAGCUCUCCCGAUCUGUCAGCAUGUUGUUGUUGAAGUGUGGGGUUGUAACUCUGCGUGGACUAUGGACAGUCAACAAUAUGUACUUAAAAGUUGCACUAUUGCAAAACGGGUGUAUUAUCCAGGUACUCGU